AGGAGGGGCUGUAUAAUCAAAGACCCACAUGUAGCUUAUGGAUGUUUUGUUCAGGAAGUAGCUAGUAGGCCGGUCUCUCAGUGCUGUCUGUCGGUUUCUCAAAGGUCUAGCAAGAUGUUUUUCUUCUCAUUUGUUCUCUUUUCAGGUUUUUUAGCAGGAAACAGUUUUGGGGAUUCAAUAAACCAUGCGACUACCGAAGAACUUGUUCCGGAGGGAAGGAAUGUCCAUCUCUUCUGCAAAUAUGAUGGCACUGUCAACAAUCUGCUGUGGUACCGCCAAUAUCCCAGAUCCAAACCAGAAUUCCUCUUGUACAUCACACCAGAGGGGUCUAUAUUUAAAGCUACUCCCCCACCUCCUCGUCUGACAGUUUCCAUUGACAAAGUGGACAAACGUGUGGAUCUGAAGAUCUCUUCUGCUGAAGUGACAGACUCUUCUCUGUACUACUGUGCCAUGAAAACCACAGUGACAGAAAACUCUGACACACUGUACAAAAACCUGUCAAGAACCAUUGGAGGAAACAGACAUCCUGUAUGACAUACAUAACAUACCUACUGAAUGUUAAGGGGAGGAACUUAUGGUAGAGGAUGAUCUGAACAACAGUAUAGAAACAUAAAAA